UGGGGAAUAUUGCACAAUGGGCGCAAGCCUGAUGCAGCCAUGCCGCGUGUAUGAAGAAGGCCUUCGGGUUGUAAAGUACUUUCAGCGAGGAGGAAGGCAUUGUGGUUAAUAACCACAGUGAUUGACGUUACUCGCAGAAGAAGCACCGGCUAACUCCGUG
rnacentral:rRNA from 1 species